GUGGGGAAUCUUCCGCAAUGGACGAAAGUCUGACGGAGCAACGCCGCGUGAGUGAUGAAGGUCUUCGGAUUGUAAAGCUCUGUUAAUCGGGACGAAAGAGCCUAGUGUGAAUAAUGCUAGGAAGUGACGGUACCGGAAUAGAAAGCCACGGCUAACUACGUGCCAGCAGCCGCGGUAAUACGUAGGUGGCAAGCGUUGUCCGGAAUUAUUGGGCGUAAAGCGCGCGCAGGCGGAUCUGCCAGUCUGUCUUAAAAGUUCGGGGCUUAACCCCGUGAUGGGAUGGAAACUACAGAUCUAGAGUAUCGGAGAGGAAAGUGGAAUUCCUAGUGUAGCGGUGAAAUGCGAAGAUAUUAGGAAGAACACCAGUGGCGAAGGCGACUUUCUGGACGAAAACUGACGCUGAGGCGCGAAAGCCAGGGGAGCGAACGGGAUUAGAAACCCCGGUAGUCC
rnacentral:rRNA from 1 species